UAAGACGAACCGUGCGAACGUUGUUCGGAAUCACUGGGCUUAAAGGGCGCGUAGGCGGUUCUCCAAGUCAGGGGUGAAAUCCUGCGGCUUAACCGUAGAAGUGCCUUUGAUACUGGAGAUCUUGAGGGAGGUAGGGGUCCGUGGAACUUCUGGUGGAGCGGUGAAAUGCGUUGAUAUCAGAAGGAACGCCGGUGGCGAAAGCGACGGACUGGAUCUCUUCUGACGCUGAGGCGCGAAAGCUAGGGGAGCAAACGGGAUUAGAUACCCCGGUAGUCCUAGCCCUAAACGAUGGGUACUAGAUUGUAAACUAACAUGGGUCUACAGUCGAAGCAAAAGUGUUAAGUACCCCGCCUGGGGAGUAUGGUCGCAAGGCUG
rnacentral:rRNA from 1 species